ensembl:lncRNA
AGAACAACGAAGACCCGAUCCGUAACUAUACAUAUUUCUACAGCAAGUUUAACCCUACCAUUGGAUUCAAGAUCAAGCCAGAAGAGGUAUCCAAUCUUCUCCCAGAAUGCUUUUCUGAGAAGCAUAUUAGGGUUUACUGGAAGAGACGUAAUGAUAAGCGUCUGGAAGAUGCAAAGAAGUGCUUCGAGGCUGUGAAAAAGGAGGUGGAGGAGAAUUAGAGUGACGUCAAAAAAGCAACACCAGGAGACGCCCAGUGAAUCUGAAGAUGUUAAACAUUCAGACACUAAGUUUUAAUGAUACUGCAGAGAUUCUGAAACAGGAAUUUAAAUCAUAAAAGUUAAGUACUUUGUCUAUUUUACAAUAUCUUCUUUUUGUUUUUUGUCUUUUAUUUUAACUAAGUGGUUUAGUUUGGAAAUUAAAUAUAACCAAUAUAUUUACAUAGUGAAUGAUUUGUAAAUCUUCCACAUCUCCAGUUGAUAUGGUUUUGUGGUUAGCAAGGCUUUUUUACUUUCUUCAAUAUGUAUCAAUGUGAAGUAAGAACCUAAAAUCUAAAACAAGUCAUGUAUUGAAUAAACUAUAUAUCACGCAAUUUUCACUAUUAUAUUAUAUCAUAUAGCUCAGCUCUGAUCAAUAUAUGGUUAAGACAAGCAUUGGGUAUUCUUGUGAGUUUUGACUGUGUGAAAAUUUAUUCUUUAUUAUGUAAUGGGUCUCUAAAUGAAAACCUACCAAAGGUUAAUUGAAACUUUUAGCUGUUUUACUGUUUAGAUGUGUUUGUUGAUUUCUGG